AGGCGCAGCAGGUACCCAGGAGCUGCGCGCCUCUGUGGAACCACACUACGCAGGCGCAGGAGCCUCCCUACUGAGGGCAUAUUCGUCGAGGCAGCGCCGGGGAAUAGUGUUGGGGGGAUUGAGCCCGAAAGGCAGGCAGGGGAUUUCCGGUUCCGGGAGUAACCGAUGGCAGCUACUGCUUCGGUGGAGGUGGAAGAGGAGUAGGACCCGGCGGGACGCGGGCGGGCGCCUCUCCAUGGGUCCGCGGGCCUAGAGUGGCCGGAGCUGCGGGCCUGGUGCCAAACUGCAUCCAUGGCUGAGGAAUGGAUGGACUGCCCAGCCCUGGGCCCUGGCUGGAAACGACGUGAGGCCUUUCGAAAGUCAGGUGCCACCUGUGGACGCUCAGACAUCUAUUACCAGAGCCCCACAGGAGACAAGAUCCGAAGCAAAGUUGAGCUGACCCGAUACUUAGGCCCUGCUUGUGACCUUACCCUCUUCGACUUCAAACAAGGCAUUGUAUGCUAUCCAGCCCCCAAGACUCCUUUGGCUGUCCCCAGCAAGAAGCAAAAGAAGCCUUCCAAACCAGCAAAGGCUCAGAAACCUGCCGUUUCUGAACCACAGAGAAAUGAGGCCAGAAAGGAGACUCCUCAGGAUGAGAUUAAGGCUAGCACUGAUGCAGCCCCAGCUUCAGUCCCUGCACCUGGGUGCUGUGAGAAUUGUGGAAUCCGCUUCUCAGGGGAUGGUACCAGAAGGCAGCGGCUCAAGACUUUAUGCAAAGACUGCCGAGCACAGAGGAUUGCCUUCAACCGUGAGCAGAGAAUGUUUAAGCGUAUUGGCUGUGGAGAGUGUGCAGCCUGCCUGGUAACUGUAGACUGCGGGGCUUGUUCUACCUGCCUCCUGCAACUGCCCCGUGAUGUGGCCACAGGGCUAUUCUGCAAGUGUGAGCGGAGACGCUGCCUCCGGAUUGUGGAGAGGAGCCAAGGGUGUGGAGUGUGCCGGGGCUGUCUGAUCCAAGAGGACUGUGGCCAUUGCCGAGCCUGCCUUCGCUCUCCCCGCCCUGGUCUCAGGCGUCAGUGGAGGUGUGUGCAGCGACGUUGCCUUUGGCACCUUGUUCAUCGUGUCCAUGGCCACCCUAAGGGAUGUCAGCGGUGCCCUUCUCUGGUUGUGGUCCCCCCUACUGGUAAACAUGGCCGUCAUAAGGGGGCCUCCAAGGCUGCUGCCCGACAUCGCUCCCAAGCUCAGCCACUGCCUCCACUUCCUCCAUCACAGCACCCAGAGCCCACAGAGCUGCACACCAGCGUCCUAGCGCCCUCAUCACCUGCUGAGUUCAUCUAUUACUGUGUAGACGAGGACGAGCUACAGCCCUGCACGAACCGCCGGCAGAACCGCAAGUGCGGGGCCUGUGCAGCCUGCCUACGGCGGAUGGACUGUGGCCACUGCGACUUCUGCUGCGACAAGCCCAAAUUCGGGGGCAGCAACCAGAAGCGCCAGAAGUGUCGUUGGCGCCAGUGCCUGCAAUUUGCCAUGAAGCGGUUGCUGCCCAGUGUGGGGUCAGGGUCUGAAGAAAGAGCGGAAUCACCUCCACAUCACCCUCAUCGAAAGAGGCCUGGUUCUGCUCGACGACUCCAUUUGGACCCUUCCUUAAAGCCCCCUUUGGCUAUGUGCCCAGCCCAGCCAGGCCGUGCCCAAGACCCAGUGAAGCAAGAAGCAAGUGGUGACUUUGUGCUGCCUCCACCUGGCACAGACCUUGUGUUUUUACGGGAGGGUGCCAGCAGCCCUGUGCAGGUGCCAGGCCCUGCUACAACUUCCUCAGAAGCCCAGUUGCAGGAGGACCAGUGCUCUGCCCUGAGUUGGGUUGUGGCCUUACCACAGGUGAAGCAAGAGAAGGUGGAUGCCCCAGAAGAAUGGACAGCAGGCACGGCCGUCCUGACUUCUUCCACGUUGCAGCCUGACUUCCCUAGCAAGGCGGUAGAUCCAGGUCUUCUACCCGUGAAACAAGAGCCACCUGACUCUGAGGAGGAAAAGGAAGAGAACAAAGAUUAUGUCUCUGAAUCAGCCCCAGAGGAAGAGGCAGGAGGGCCUGGCAUACCUGUGAUCACGGAGAUUUUCAGCCUGGGUGGAACCCGCUUCCGGGACACAGCGAUCUGGUUCCCAAGGUCCAAGGACCUUAAAAACCCUGGAGCUAGAAAGCAGUAGACUGGAAGCUUCUACAGACUGUAGCACUGAAGGUGAUAUUUGCAGACUGGCUUUAUGAGCGAUAACUUCUCCGAUCUACUAGGGGCUGAACCCUGGCCUGGUUGCUGAGCUUGUGUAUAAAUCAACCCUAAGAGGAAACCUACAAGCACAAUCAAGGAGCAGGCCUACUCAGUCCUUGGAACUUAGAGGAAGCAAGCCGGAAAGGAAGAGAAAGUAGAGAGCUGGUGCAUCUGCUCCUCGCAGGAUCUCAAAUGGAAUAAGACGUGGGAUGUAGGGGUAGGGGGAACUCAGAUAGGGGAGAGAGAUCAUUGAAGUCAUCACAAACAACCCAAACAAGCUAUCUUCAUAAAUGAUUGUGGGUGGCUUCUGGACAAGAUCUGGCAGUGUAUCUAAACAUUUUCUCAGGGAAACAGCAGUUGAAAAUGCAACCUGAAUAAAGAAGGAAAGAAAAGGAACUGCUGUUUGGCUACAUAAACUUAGCAGUAAAUGAAAAUGAGUAUUUUACUGAACUACAGUUGAAAGAAGAAAUAUUAUAGGAGAGAAAAACAGCAUUAUUAAGAGAAGACAUUAUUUUGUGACUGAAAAGCUGAACCUGCAAAUCAGGAAAUGGAAUCCAUAUCUAGAAAUGUACCAUGUAGAAAAUCUGGAGUGGGAGGGUUACAAAUAAUUAAGAACACAAUUUGCAGUAAAUUGGGACCUUAAGAGGAUACACACAGUAAUUGCACUUGGAUUACUAGUAUGAUCUGUUAUUCUGUGCUUGCUCCCACUUUAGAACAGGGGUACCAAAGUAGCAUUCUUAAUUGGCUUUUAAGUAUUAGAACUACAAUCAUGUUGUCGAUGAAAAAAUAAACUUGUGGUUCCCACAUGUGCUGAGGACCCCAAUUCAUUUCCCUGAACUGUGUUGCCAGUUCAGCCUGGGAUCCUGAUUCUCAAGAAUUGAUUAUCUGACCUGAUUCACAACCUGGCCUUGGUCCACUGGUACCCCUCCGUUCAUUUUUAUGUGUCCAGUUGAAUCAGACCACUGCCCUAUCAGCUGGUCUGAUCUGCCUCCUUCUAACGGUAACCCAAAGUUCUAACUAGUACAGUAGGAAGAUUUUGUUCACAAAUAUUACUGGUUGGGUAGCUUGCUAAAUAAAGCACUUGGGCUCUUUGUUUAAGCCUUAACUUCACUGUAAAAUAAGGCUAAUUAUACCUGCAGUUUCUCUAACCUUGUAAGAUAUUUGUCAGCCUCAAAGGUUGUAUCUGAAAAUACCGUGAAAAUUGUAAAGAACUACACAAGUA